CAGGCGCCACCUGGUCACCACACGCGCCUCCUCUGCUCGGGUCCUCGGGCACCGUGUCCUGCCCCGCGGCGGCCGCCCCACGGACCGGGCUCCAGCAACAGCAGGACCCGCUCCGCCUCCUCCGAAGCUAAGAAUUGAUGUGAACCUUAAAAUCGACGCCAGUCAUAUUUUAAUUUGGAUACUCUGAAGCUUAAUCUUGAAAGUAUAUUCAUAACCUUUGCCUGCCUAUGACCUUUUAAGCAAUACGGUAUCGAAGAAAUGACUUAGUGAUAAUUCAGAGCAGUAUUGUGAUAAAAUGAAAGAUGAAAUAAUCAGAUCAAGGGAUUUUGAAGACUGGCGGAUGUACUUCCUUCACUCCAGUGCUAGUUUACCACCAGAAUCGCAACAGAAGAUCAGUGUAGACGGCCCUUCAAACAGCUUCAGCUAGCUAUCAUUAGUAUGCUUGACUCCGCCAAAAUGGACCUUCUUCUGCAUGCCUUUUUUUAAAAAAAGAUUUUAUUUGAGGGAGAAUUGAGUAUGAGCAGGGAGAGGGCCGGAGGAAGAGGGGGAAGCAGAGCCUGCUGAGCAGAGAUCCCGACACGGGGCACCAUCCCAAAACCCUGAUCACGACCCGAGCUGAAGGCAGACGCUCAACUGAUGAGUCACCCAGGUGCCCUGCUCUGCCACUUUUGACUGUGUACUAUUACCUGUGCUCCUUAGCUUAGGUCCAUUCACGAAAUCUUGCGAUGACUUAAAAGUCUUCUCCCAUUAGCUCUGUUUUCUGGUCAUCAUUGCUCAGCUCUAAUAGCCACGAGCCUAUGUACAUUCCCAGUGUGUAUACAUUUCUGUCUUUGUUUAAACAUGUUUUUGAUAAUACCUUUGCAAAAUCCAUUCUGAUGAAAAUGGAAAAGAAGUCCUAUCAACCAAUAUUUCCCUACUAAUCAAAUUUCUUAUGGCAGAACACUAUCAUUUCUGAAUUAGGAAAGGACUAUUAAAAAAAAACAGAUUAAAUGAGAAAAAUUCAGUCAUUCAUUGUAUAAGAAUAAGCAAGUUAUUACUAAUUAAUCUUUUAUUUCCCUAUGAAACAGUUUUUUGGGCAUUUCCUGCUUGAAUUAAUAGAACAAGUAAAAAGGAGGUGAAAAGACUAACAUUCACUGCAUGCCUUCCUAAGUGCCAGGAAUGGUGAAAUAUUCCUCUGCCUACUAUUUUUAUUAUGGUAGUUGAUUAUUAUGGUUAUAGAUUAGAAGACGUUUUCCUUUUUUUUUUUUACAUUUAAAUUCAAUUUGACAACGCACAGUAUAACACCCAGUGCUCAUUACAUCUUGUGCCCUCCUCAGUGCCCGUCAUC